GGGCUGUUUGAUUGUUCCUGGUGUGUUCCAGCGAGCCAGCAGACAGACAGGAAACAAGAGGAAGAGGAUAAGACAGCAGAGUAGAGAAGAGAGGAGUGACUCACUCUGCUCAGUCCUGUGGUUGUGGCGGUCUUGUGAUUACUGCUCCCAUUGCUCUCUCUCUCUCUCUCACUCACACACACACACUCACACACAUUGUUACUGUCUGUUUUUAUAGAUUCUUUCUUCUGGUGAAGACACAGCAUGGUGUGGUGCGCAUGCAUGCGUGCGUGCGUGCCUGCAUGCGUACCUGCCUGCCUGCAUGCGUACAUACGUGUGAGCGAGCAUGCGUGUGUCACACCCUGAUCUGUUUCAACUGUCUUUGUGCUUGUCUCCACCCCCCUAUAGGUGUCACCCAUUUCCCCCAUUAUUCCCAAUGUAUUUAUACCUGUGCUCUCUGUUUGUCUGUUGCCAGUUUGUUUUGUUCGUCAAACCUACCAGCGGUUUCCCCCUUGCUCCUGUCUGUUUCUAGUUCCUGUUUUCUAGCUUUCCCGGUUUUGACCAUUCUACCUGCGCUGAGCCUGCCUGCCAUUCUGCACCUUGUCACACCACCCUGGAUUAUUGACCUCUGCCUGCCCUGCCCAGCCAGGAGCCUGCCGUUCUGUACCUUACGGACUCUGAUCUGGAUAACUUACCUCUGCCUUCCCUUGACUUGUCGUUUUGCCUGCCCCCUGUUCUAGUAAUAAACUUUUGUUACUUCGACACAGUCUGCAUCUGGGACUUCUCCUGAAAUGUGAUAGCAUGUGUGCUUUCAUACGAGCAUAUCUGCGUGACUGUGUUUGUAUCUGUGUAUGAAGUGAAGUACCCCAUGCUCACACUAUCUAACCUUCACUGCACCUGUCCCUACCACAACCCCUCAACGCCUUGCCUUCACUUCCUCUCUCAGUUUCUCUGACAACUGUAUCAUAUUAACCCCCACUUUCACUUCCUGGUUUAAGCAGUGGCUGUCUUACAACAAACAAGAACAGGCCAAAGAAACCAGUCCUGCCAGGAAGACAUGAAGAUCUGUCAACCAGGCUCGGUGGGUGACAGGUAACCGUGUUUCCACAAAGCUGUUCCAGGCCUGGAGUGGCACGCUGGAACUUCCAGAGGCUUGUAGACCUGAAGCAGUGUGAUGUUGUCCCGAUCUGCCACCCCCAGCAGUCCAGCAGUCCUCUGCUGUGGUAUUUAAUUUACUGGCUGCACCGGUUCCUACUACACUGGCCGUGAAGGAAGAAUCUUUUGAGGAUUCCCAGAUGGAUACAGAUCUGCCAUGCACUCCACCACUGCCCCAGACAGCCUCACCCAGAAGUGCAUGCACCGGGCCUAUCACAACUGACAAAGCAGAGAUGGGUGGCUGACAAGGAAAAAUAAAGCACAACAUGCACACACACUCUCUCUCUGUCACACACACACACACAUUAUCCCCAAUGUAAAUACAUUUUAAUUAUUUUAUUUUAGGAUUGGAGUUAUCUACGCCUACAUAUCCAUUAUCAAUAGCUACGUAAUUACUCUAUCCAAUCAAAGUGUGAUUGAUAAUAUUGUAAGAGUAUUGCUUAAUUUGUAGUUUGAGGAAAUUCUGUGUGCUUUUUUCUGAGUUGAAAAACAUGCCUCCCUCUCACUUUCACACACACACACACACACACACACACACACACACACACACACACACACACACACACACACACACACACACACACACACACACACACACACACACACACACACACACACACACACACACACAAUGUAAAUACAUUGUUUAUUUUAUGUAUGCUCCAUUUUAUUUGAUGAUUGUGUGCAAUAAAGUACAUUCACAGUUAAAGCAACAGUUUGGUUGAUUGGAUAUUUCUCUGAUUAAAAUAAAUAAAUGACCAAAAGGAAGUUGGCAGACCUGCAACCAACCCUCUGGGAGUGUGUGCAGGUUUUGUCAUCUGGAGCUGACACGGCCCCAACAGCCCUCACAUAUGUAUAGGGUUCCCAUGAGUGGCAGGCAAAUAUGUUUGUUUGCUAAAUAAUUUUUUAUGUACCAAGGCCAUUCCCUGGCUACCCACCCACAUCGCUCAGGCUAAACUGACUUUUGUUCUCCACAAUGAAUGUAUGUCAAAUUCAGGAUGAGUCAUCAGGCAACCAAGGCCAAGGAAUGGCGAAAGAGAUGACCUGGAGGGAGUUCCAGACCUCAGCUUUUUAUGAAGCAGAAAACCAC